AGUGCUGGGUGCCAGGGGUGCCUUAACACCCUUGUCCACUUUUCUUGCCCCAUAGAUCCUGGAGAUCCCUGGGCACCUUCUUGAGGCUGGUGGAGCACAGGACCAGGAAUGGUUCUGCAGAGCAUCUCUGCACCCACGCACCCCGCUCCCCAGCCCGGACGGUGCUCAGUGCUGGGAACAGCAGCAAAGCGGAUGGAGAGGACCCUGCCCUGGGGCCCUGCAGCAGCUGGGAAGCGC
rnacentral:lncRNA from 1 species